UUUGAGGCAAUAACAGGUCUGUGAUGCCCUUAGAUGUUUGGGCCGCACGCGCGCUACACUGACAGAGCCAGCGAGUACUCCCUUGGCCGGAAGGCCCGGGUAAUCUUGUUAAACUCUGUCGUGCUGGGGAUAGAGCAUUGCAAUUAUUGCUCUUCAACGAGGAAUCCCUAGUAAGCGCAAGUCAUCAGCUUGCGUUGAUUACGUCCCUGCCCUUUGUACACACCGCCCGUCGCUACUACCGAUUGAAUGGCUCAGUGAGGCUUCCGGACUGGCCCAGAGAGGUGCGGCAACGACCA
rnacentral:rRNA from 1 species